AUUUGUAGCAGCCUACGGGAGACUGGGUGGUGUUGUGAUGACUUGUCACAGGUACAAAUGCCUUAACUCCUGGUCUGAUGUACUUGUUAGGCAUGUUAAGGGCUGU